rnacentral:rRNA from 1 species
AAUUCCCGGUGUAGUGGUGAAAUGCGUAGAUAUCGGGAGGAACACCAGUGGCGAAGGCGGCUCUCUGGGCCAUUCCUGACGCUCAGACGCGAAAGCUAGGGGAGAGAACGGGAUUAGAAACCCCGGUAUUCCUAGCCGUAAACGAUGUCAACUAGGCGUAGGAGGUAACCAUUCCUUCUGUGCUGCAGCUAACGCGAUAAGUUGACCGCCUGGGGACUACGGCCGCAAGGCUAAAACUCAAAGGAAUUGACGGGGCCCCGCACAAGCAGCGGAGCGUGUGGUUUAAUUCGAGGCUACGCGAAGAACCUUACCAGGGCUUGACAUGCAGGUGGUAGUGAAUCGAAAGAGGAACGACCCUUCGGGGAGCCUGCACAGGUGCUGCAUGGCUGUCGUCAGCUCGUGCCGUGAGGUGUUCGGUUAAGUCCGAUAACGAGCGCAACCCUCGUCGUUAGUUACAUGUGUCUAGCGAGACUGCCGGUGAUAAGCCGGAGGAAGGUGGGGAUGACGUCAAGCCAGCAUGGCCUUUAUGUCCUGGGCUACACACACGCUACAAUGGCCGGUACAAUGGGUUGCCAAGUCGUGAGACGGAGCCAAUCCCCCAAAGCCGGUCUCAGUUCGGAUUGCAGGCUGCAACUCGCCUGCAUGAAGUCGGAGUUGCUAGUAACCGCGCGUCAGCCACAGUGCGGUGAAUACGUUCCCGGGGCUUGUACACACCGCCCGUCACGUCAUGGAAGUUGGCAACGCCUGAAGUCGGUGAGCUAACCCUCACGGGAGGCAGCCGCCUAAGGCGGGGUCGGUAACUGGGACG